CCUACGGGUGGCAGCAGUGAGGAAUAUUGGUCAAUGGGCUUACGCCUGAACCAGCCAAGUCGCGUGAGGGAAGACGGUCCUAUGGAUUGUAAACCUCUUUUGUCGGGGAGCAAAAGACGCCACGCGUGGCGUUCCGAGAGUACCCGAAGAAAAAGCAUCGGCUAACUCCGUGCCCGCGGCCGCGGUAAUACGGGGGAUGCGAGCGUUAUCCGGAUUUAUUGGGUUUAAAGGGUGCGCAGGCGGAAGAUCAAGUCAGCGGUAAACUUGAGGGGCUCAACCUCGUCGAGCCGUUGAAACUGGUUUUCUUGAGUGGGCGAGAAGCAGGCGGAAUGCGGGGUGUAGCGGUGAAAUGCAUAGAUAUCACGCAGAACUCCGAUUGCGAAGGCAGCAUACCGGCGCUCAACUGACGCUGAUGCACGAAAGUGUGGGUAUCGAACAGGAUUAGAUACCCGGGUAGUC
rnacentral:rRNA from 1 species